rnacentral:rRNA from 1 species
UACGUAGGGGGCAAGCGUUGUCCGGAAUCAUUGGGCGUAAAGCGCGCGUAGGCGGCCCGGUAAGUCCGUUGUGAAAGUCAAAGGCUCAACCUUUGAAUGCCGAUGGAUACUGCCGGGCUAGAGUCCGGAAGAGGCGAGUGGAAUUCCUGGUGUAGCGGUGGAAUGCGCAGAUAUCAUGAGGAAGACCAGUGGCGAAGGCGGAUCUCUGGACAGUUCCUGACACUGAGGCACGAAGGCCAGGGGAGCAAACGGG